rnacentral:rRNA from 1 species
GACGAACGCUGGCGGCGUGCUUAACACAUGCAAGUCGAGCGAUGAAGUUCCUUCGGGAAUGGAUUAGCGGCGGACGGGUGAGUAACACGUGGGUAAUCUUCCUCAGAGUGUGGGAUAACUAGUCGAAAGAUUAGCUAAUACCACAUAAGACCACAGGAUCUGCGGAUCUAGAGGUCAAAGGUUUUUCGCUCUGAGAUGAGCCCGCGUAAGAUUAGCUAGUUGGUGAGGUAAUGGCUCACCAAGGCGACGAUCUUUAGCUGGUCUGAGAGGAUGAUCAGCCACACUGGAACUGAGACACGGUCCAGACUCCUACGGGAGGCAGCAGUAGGGAAUAUUGCACAAUGGAGGAAACUCUGAUGCAGCGACGCUGCGUGAGUGAUGAAGGACUUCGGUUCGUAAAGCUCUGUCGUAUGGGAAUAAUAAAUUGAAUGUACCAUGCAAGAAAGGAUCGGCUAACUUCGUGCCAGCAGCCGCGGUAAAAC